rnacentral:tRNA from 1 species
GAAUCGAUAGCACAGUGGUGUGUGCGUUUGGGUGAUGACCAACAGGUCAUGGGUUCGACUCCCUCACCCCC